AGCGAACGCUGGCGGCAGGCCUAACACAUGUAAGUCGAGCGCCCCGCAAGGGGAGCGGCAGACGGGAGAGUAACACGUGGGAACGUACCCUUUGGUUCGGAACAACCCAGGGAAACUUGGGCUAAUACCGAAUAAGCCCUUACGGGGAAAGAUUUAUCGCCGAAGGAUCGGCCCGCGUCUGAUUAGCUAGUUGGUGAGGUAACGGCUCACCAAGGCGACGAUCAGUAGCGGGUCUGAGAGGAUGAUCAGCCUCACUGGGACUGAGACACGGCCCAGACUCCUACGGGAGGCAGCAGUGGGGAAUAUUGGACAAUGGGCGCAAGCCUGAUCCAGCCAUGCCGCGUGGGUGAUGAAGGCCCUAGGGUUGUAAAGCCCUUUCGGCGGGGAAGAUAAUGACGGUACCCGCAGAAGAAGCCCCGGCUAACUUCGUGCCAGCAGCCGCGGUAA
rnacentral:rRNA from 1 species